rnacentral:rRNA from 1 species
CAAAGGCUUCGGCCGGUAAAGGAUGGGGAUGCGUCUGAUUAGCUUGCCGGCGGGGUAACGGCCCACCGGGGCGACGAUCAGUAGGAGUUCUGAGAGGAAGGUCCCCCACAUUGGAACUGAGACACGGUCCAAACUCCUACGGGAGGCAGCAGUGAGGAAUAUUGGUCAAUGGGCGCGAGCCUGAACCAGCCAAGUAGCGUGCAGGACGACGGCCCUAUGGGUUGUAAACUGCUUUUAUACGGGGAUAAAGUAUGCCACGUGUGGUUUAUUGCAGGUACCGUAUGAAUAAGGACCGGCUAAUUCCGUGCCAGCAGCCGCGGUAAUACGGAAGGUCCGGGCGUUAUCCGGAUUUAUUGGGUUUAAAGGGAGCGUAGGCCGGGUUUUAAGCGUGCCGUGAAAUGUCGGGGCUCAACCUUGACACUGCGGCGCGAACUGGAGUCCUUGAGUGCGCGGAACGUAUGCGGAAUUCGUGGUGUAGCGGUGAAAUGCUUAGAUAUCACGAAGAACCCCGAUUGCGAAGGCAGCAUACGGCAGCGCUACUGACGCUGAAGCUCGAAGGCGCGGGUAUCGAACAGGAUUAGAUACCCUGGUAGUCCGCGCGGUA